GUCACUAACUGUUCUUCGUCUAGGGU
rnacentral:piRNA from 1 species